rnacentral:rRNA from 1 species
GGACGGGUGAGUAAUGUAUGAGCAACCUGCCUCCAUCAACGGGAUAGCAGUUGGAAACGACUGGUAAUACGGUAUAUGACCACAGCACGGCAUCGUGCAGCGGUAAAAGAUUUUAUUGGAUAGAGAUGGGCUCAUAUCCCAUUAGGUAGUUGGUGAGAUAACAGCCCACCAAGCCUACGAUGGGUAGCCGAGCUGAGAGGCUGAUCGGCCACAUUGGGACUGAAACACGGCCCAGACUCCUACGGGAGGCAGCAGUGGGGAAUAUUGGGCAAUGGAGGCAACUCUGACCCAGCAAUGCCGCGUGAGUGAUGAAGGUAAUUUUAUUGUAAAGCUCUUUUCUUUGGAACGAAUAAAUGACGGUACCAAAGGAAUAAGCCCCGGCUAACUACGUGCCAGCAGCCGCGGUAAUACGUAGGGGGCAAGCGUUGUUCGGAAUGACUGGGCGUAAAGGGUGUGUAGGUGGUUUGAUAAGUUAGAUGUGUAAUACCCAGGGCUUAACUCGGGUGCUGCAUCUAAAACUGUUAGACUUGAGUACUGGAGAGGAUAGUGGAAUUCCUAGUGUAGCGGUGGAAUGCGUAGAUAUUAGGAGGAACAUCAGUGGCGAAGGCGACUAUCUGGACAGCAACUGACACUGAGGCACGAAAGCGUGGGGAGCAAACAGGAUUAGAUACCCUGGUAGUCCACGCUGUAAACGAUGGAUACUAGAUGCGGGGGGUAUUCACUCCUUCCGUGUCGUAGCAAACGCACUAAGUAUCCCG